GGCUGGAUAGCUCAGUUGGUAGAGCACCGGAACGUUAAUCCGGAGGUCGCAGGUUCAAACCCCGCUCCAGACA
rnacentral:tRNA from 1 species